GGUAGUGGCCGAGCGGUCCAAGGCGCUGGAUUAAGGCUCCAGUCUCUUCGGAGCGUGGGUUCGAAUCCCACCGCUGCCA
rnacentral:tRNA from 1 species